GAGGCAAGGAGACAAGGACACUUCUGGCAGAAGGGAGUACAUGAACAUAAAGGCAGAGGUGCAAAGAACAAUUUGGCUGCACUUGUAACAUUGUUUACCAGGCUGGUGAAGAUGGGUUCUUCCCCCUUUGCUGUGGAACCUAUCAACUAUUAUGUUACAGCUCACAGGAAGGAAAGGCAAAGAAGAGACAUCAGGAUCCAUUGAGCAAUGUAGUGACUUGAUGAAAGUAAUGUUGUGGGAAAAUUAAACCAGGAUUUGCAGGAUUUCAUAUGGCCAUCCGGAUGGCAAAUGCAUCAGCUGAAAAGGUAAAUUGAGCAGUGAGAUGAAUGUGAUAGCUGAGGCUGGCAUGACAUCAUGAUGAAGACUAGGAUCAACCAGGAUAAAUUCACAUGGGGAGGACAUAUAGUUUCAACUAGCAACAUGGGAGAUUUGAGAUGAAACAUUCUAAUCAUUAUGAUAAACAUUCUAAUCAUCAUGCACCCAAAAGAAACUAAGGAGAACAGGAGAGAUGGAAGAGUGAGGACCCAUUAUUAUCUGUCUCCUGCUUCUUUGU